AAUGAAACGGAAGAGAUGUGAGUGCAGCGCCGUAACUGUCUCUCGCAGUGAGUACACCUCAACACCACUGCACAGAGGAGG
rnacentral:lncRNA from 1 species